AUGCGGCGGCAAAUCAUAGCCGCCCUGCCGCCCGCCGCCGCCGGCUUCAUCUCGGACUCCGUCGCCACCACGCCUCCACCGAGCGGCGUCCCCGACCUCGCGCGCGAUCGGCUUGAUCACCCGCUCGCCGCCGCGAUCCGCCUCAUCUACGCCGCGCGACCGACCUGGCCCGUCAGUUACGCGCGCCUCCGCAGGUCCCAUGAAGAUCAUCUCCGAGUUCAGCGCGCCCCUCUGCCGAUCGAGCAACGGGCUGCCGCUGCGUCGCCCCGUCGGGCCGCAGCGCCGCCACCCCGUGGUUCUUCUCCCGGCUGCACCGACCCGCGUCACCGCUGCGUCGCCCCUUCGGGCCGUAGUGCCGCGGCCCGCGGUCUACCGUCGCCCCGAGGCCGUCCGCUCCAGGCCUUCCCCGUGGCUGCACCGACCCUCGCGCCGCCGCUGCGUCGCCCCAUCGGGCCGUAG
rnacentral:rRNA from 1 species